GAUGAACGCUGGCGGCGUACCUAAUACAUGCAAGUCGAGCGAACAGACGAGGAGCUUGCUCCUCUGACGUUAGCGGCGGACGGGUGAGUAACACGUGGAUAACCUACCUAUAAGACUGGGAUAACUUCGGGAAACCGGAGCUAAUACCGGAUAAUAUAUUGAACCGCAUGGUUCAAUAGUGAAAGACGGUUUUGCUGUCACUUAUAGCUGGAUCCGCGCCGCAUUAGCUAGUUGGUAAGGUAACGGCUUACCACGGCAACGAUGCGUAGCCGACCUGAGAGGGUGAUCGGCCACACUGGAACUGAGACACGGUCCAGACUCCUACGGGAGGCAGCAGUAGGGAAUCUUCCGCAAUGGGCGAAAGCCUGACGGAGCAACGCCGCGUGAGUGAUGAAGGUCUUCGGAUCGUAAAACUCUGUUAUUAGGGAAGAACAAAUGUGUAAGUAACUAUGCACGUCUUGACGGUACCUAAUCAGAAAGCCACGGCUAACUACGUG
rnacentral:rRNA from 1 species